rnacentral:rRNA from 1 species
UAAGAAUUUAAAAGUCGAACAGACUUAUUUGUUAAGACUACUACUUCUUAAAAUUUUCUUAAUUCAACAUCGAGGUCGCAAAAUACAAUAUAGAUGUGAACUCCCCAUUUAAAUUACGCUGUUAUCCCUAAGGUAACUUAAUCUUGGUAUCCUAAAUUUAGGGAUCUAUAAUGACAUAGACAAAUGAAUAUAAAAGUUAAAGUUAAUUAUUUAACUGCCACCCCAGCAAAAUAUAGAUAUUAAUAUUAAAAAAUAUUAAAAAUUAAAACCUAAUAAAAUUAAAUUAUAUAAAGUUCUAUAGGGUCUUAUCGUCCCAAUAAACUAAUAAAGCAUUUUAACUUUAAAUUUAAAUUUUAAUAUUUAAAAAAAUAAAAUAUAACUCUCAUACAUCCAUUCAUACAAGCUCUCAAUUAAAAAACUAAUUACUAUGCUACCUUUGCACAGUCAAAAUACUGCAGCCAUUUAGAAAUUAAACCAUAGGGCAGGGGGUACUUUUUAUAAAAACCA